CAUCUAUGAUUUCCUGUCUUUCCUGUUUCCGCUUCGAAGCAGACUCGUCUGUCGUGAUGUAGGAAGAAGGUAACAAUCAAGUUAUGGAUACCCAGGAUGCUAUAAACCCCUGUAAACUAUAACUAUCCAGAAAGAAGAGCACAUGAGGUGGGAGGUAUGUUUCAUCACAGUCUCAGAAGAUGAUCAGUUUCAUGACCACCCUCUGCCUUUCCCAUCGCAGCCUGUUUGCUGCCCCUGAAUCCAGCAAAAUUCAGUUCCCUGGAAAACCUUCCUACCUCCCUCUAAUUAAAAUGAAGAAACAAAAGCUUGGAAUGAAUACCAUCUGUAGACAUCUGAGCUACAAUGUACCCUCAAGACAUCUGGACCUUGUCAUUCAACCUGCAGAUCCCUUGGGUUCUCAACUAAAGUCUUAUCUGUCACUGAAU
rnacentral:lncRNA from 1 species